GUGGCGCACGGGUGAGUAACGCGUAUGCAAUCUACCUAUAACUGAGGAAUAGCCCAGAGAAAUUUGGAUUAAUACCUCAUAACAUUAUUAUUUGGCAUCAUUUAAUAAUUAAAACUCCGGUGGUUAUAGAUGAGCAUGCGUUCUAUUAGCUAGUUGGUGAGGUAAGAGCUCACCAAGGCUACGAUAGAUAGGGGGCCUGAAAGGGUGAUCCCCCACACUGGUACUGAGACACGGACCAGACUCCUACGGGAGGCAGCAGUGAGGAAUAUUGCACAAUGGAGGAAACUCUGAUGCAGCCAUGCCGCGUGCAGGAUGAAGGCCCUAUGGGUUGUAAACUGCUUUUUUACAAGAAGAAACCUUGGUACGUGUACCAACUUGACGGUAUUGUAAGAAUAAGCACCGGCUAACUCCGUGCCAGCAGCCGCGGUAAUACGGAGGGUGCAAGCGUUAUCCGGAUUUAUUAGGUUUAAAGGGUUCGCAGGCGGAAUUUUAAGUCAGUGGUGAAAGCCUACAGCUCAACUGUAGAACUGCCAUUGAAACUGAUAUUCUUGAGUAUAGAUGAAGUGGGCGGAAUAUGUCAUGUAGCGGUGAAAUGCAUAGAUAUGACAUGGAACACCAAUUGCGAAGGCAGCUCACUAAACUAUUACUGACGCUCAUGAACGAAAGCGUGGGGAGCAAACAGGAUUAGAUACCCUGU
rnacentral:rRNA from 1 species